rnacentral:rRNA from 1 species
UACGUAGGGUGCGAGCGUUGUCCGGAAUUAUUGGGCGUAAAGAGCUCGUAGGCGGUUUGUCGCGUCGACUGUGAAAACUGGGGGCUUAACUCUCAGCUUGCAGUUGAUACGGGCAGACUUGAGUUCGGUAGGGGAGACUGGAAUUCCUGGUGUAGCGGCGAAAUGCGCAGAUAUCAGGAGGAACACCGGUGGCGAAGGCGGGUCUCUGGGCCGAUACUGACGCUGAGGAGCGAAAGCGUGGGGAGCGAACAGG